UACGAAGGGGGCUAGCGUUGCUCGGAAUCACUGGGCGUAAAGGGUGCGUAGGCGGGUCUUUUAAGUCAGGGGUGAAAUCCUGGAGCUCAACUCCAGAACUGCCUUUGAUACUGAAGAUCUUGAGUUCGGGAGAGGUGAGUGGAACUGCGAGUGUAGAGGUGAAAUUCGUAGAUAUUCGCAAGAACACCAGUGGCGAAGGCGGCUCACUGGCCCGAUACUGACGCUGAGGCACGAAAGCGUGGGGAGCAAACAGGGAUUAAGAACCCUUGU
rnacentral:rRNA from 1 species